CAGCAGCCGCGGUAAAACGAAGGGUGCAAGCGUUAAUCGGAAUUACUGGGCGUAAAGCGUGCGUAGGCGGUUUGUUAAGUCUGCUGUGAAAUCCCCGGGCUCAACCUGGGAAUGGCAGUGGAUACUGGCAAGCUAGAGUGUGUCAGAGGAUGGUGGAAUUCCCGGUGUAGCGGUGAAAUGCGUAGAGAUCGGGAGGAACAUCAGUGGCGAAGGCGGCCAUCUGGGACAACACUGACGCUGAGGCACGAAAGCGUGGGGAGCAAACAGGAUUAGAUACCCGUGUAGUCCCUGUCUCUUAUAC
rnacentral:rRNA from 1 species